rnacentral:rRNA from 1 species
UACGUAGGGUGCGAGCGUUGUCCGGAAUUAUUGGGCGUAAAGAGCUUGUAGGCGGUUUGUCGCGUCUGCCGUGAAAUUUCGAGGCUCAACCUCGAACUUGCGGUGGGUACGGGGCAGACUAGAGUGUGGUAGGGGGAGACUGGAAUUCCUGGUGUAGCGGUGAAAUGCGCAGAUAUCAGGAGGAACACCGAUGGCGAAGGCAGGUCUCUGGGCCACUACUGACGCUG